rnacentral:sRNA from 1 species
AGCAGAAUACAGUGAAUCAUCGAAUCUUUGAACGCACCUUGGCACCCUUUGGUAUUCCGUAAGGGUAUGCUCGUUUGAGUGUCAUUCGUACUCUCACACUCUCUGAUCCUUUGGAUUGGGAGAUGGUGGACAUUGGGUGUUGCUGCUGCUGUGUGGCUCACCUACUAAUAUGCAGUAGUGCACCUCCUGGUUGGACAUAUGUACGGCGUGAUAAGUGUCUUCGUCCGGCGCCUCGAAAGAGGGUGGCUGAUUGGGAGCUCUGUGCUUCAUAAACCGUCUUCGGACAAUCUCUGACAACUUGACCUCAAAUCGAGUAGGACUACCCGCGUGAACUUAAGCAUAUCAAUAAGCGGAGG